CGUGGAUGUCACUGGCUUUCACUUCACGUUUUAGGUCAGCGCUGCUUUUGGGGUGAAAGAAGACCAUCAGCAAACCUCAGCCUUGCGGCCGGGACUCCCCCGUCUUCUGUCGGAGUCCGCCGGUCCGCAGCCUGCGGCAGGGAGGCCCGGGCACCCGCAGGUGGCGCCCCACGUCCGUGUUUGCGCCCUCAGCCGCGCUCCAGGCGCAGCUGGGAAACCCAGCGCGUCUCCCCGGGUCCUUUGAGCGAGCGCGGACACCGCAAUUUAAUAAAUAAGCGCAAGCGCCAGCCGCUCCACCAGUCCGAGGUCCAGAGGAGCAGACACACAGACCCGGGCCGGAGGCCCCUCUUCUAGCCCUGCGGGAACCGGACAGUUCCCCAACUGGGGACUCUGGAACCACAGCUCCUAAAUCAUCAAAUUCUCAAGCUUUUUUUUUUCCUCUCUUCGUCCCAGCCAUCCCAGUCUUCUUCUUUUUUUUU
rnacentral:lncRNA from 1 species